AAGCAGUAUUCAGGAUGUUCUGGGACUUGAGUUAAUUUCUGGGCUUUUAAUCAAAUCCUACACAAGGUGUUUUUUGCUUUUCACCUAGGUGCCCCUACCUCUUAUAGAUGGAGGCAUAUUUUAAAAUGGCGUUAGUGUGGCAAAUUUUUCCCCUUCCUACAAUGUGAGAUAUGGAGUCAAAGGAGAUCAUUUUGGAGCUUUAAGAUUUUACUGUCCCACUGAAUUUCGGACUUGCAUGGGGCCUGCAGCCCUUUUGUUUUGGCUAAUUUCUCCCAUUUGUAAUGGCUGUUUUUACCAAAUGCCUGUACCCCCACUGUAUCUAGUAAGUAACUAACUUGCUUUUGAUUUAACAGACUCAUAGGCAGAAGGAACUUGCCUUGCCUUGGAUGAGUGUACCCCCACUGUAUCUAGAGUUUCCCUGCACAAGCCCUCUUGUCUGCCACCCUGUGAGACAUGGAUUUUGCCUUCCACCAUGAUUGUGUGGCCUCCCCAACCACGCGGAACUAUAAUGAAGAUAUUAUACCAUUAUAUGCUCUUGAAUCUGUCUCAUUGUGACUUGGCCAAGAGGCAGUGAAUCUGCCAAAAAGAAGUAGAGCAGCUGUGAAGAUGCCAACACAAUUGAGUACUCUUUCUCCACAUAUUUCUAAACAUGGCAAUUUAUUGGACACUUAUGAGCAUGGAAUGACAAUAGGGUCAAUUUAACCAUAUGGCAAUGCUGAGACACCUUCAUUAUGACCUUUCCCUGGUAUAAGUUAUGUGAUAAUGAAUGCAUGUUUAGUCACACACUGUAGGUACAGAUGGGAAAAAAGAAAGCAUAAAAUAUAAAACAUGAUGUCCAGGUUUCAAAUAAGAAUUCUAAAAAAUGUUAUUUAAUGAAUGAAAUGAAAAUACUUUACUUUAGAAAAAGAAUAUUGAAUCUCUUUGAUGUAUAAAAUGUAUAUUUCAAAUUAAAAAUUCAAAAGAAACAAAUUAGAUAUAAUUUAUUUUGUCCUCAAAUACUCUUGAUGACUGCACAAUUCUUUUCAUCUUCAAAUUUUGUCAAAUUCAAGUAUCAAACUUCACCUGUCUUCAGGCUAAGUGUUGACCAUAUGGCAAAAUGAAGCUCAUCAUACUACAGAGAUCUACUUGGGGUCUAAUUUUCAUCAUUAUAAUCCAAAAUUUUCCUUCAAAGACAAAAAGACAAAACAGUUGAUAAAGUCUUCUAUAAGAUUAUUAUUAUUGAUUAUUUAAAUUCCUUUGACUGGGUCAAACAAAUAUUCUGUAGACAAAAUUAAUUUCAUAUCAAGGUGAGAUAAUUUUUGAAUUGUGCUCCAAAAAGUCAUUUUUAAAUUAUAAAUAAAUUUUUACUUAUUAAUUGACACAUUUAACAAAAAUUCAUUCAGCGCUAUACAGCAACCAUUAUGCCAAGACUGAAACAUUUCCUUCCCCCACAAAUCAAAAACUAUAUUGUAAAUAGUCAUGAGAGUUUAACACUAGCUCUUCAAAAGGCUAUUCAUCCCAAAAUAAAGUCAUGCCAUUGUUUCACUUAAGGCUUCUAAGUUGUUUUGAAAAGUUGUAUCAUUUCUGGAAUGACUAGUAAUAUAUUUAAGGGAGUUAAAAGAAGUAAUUACCAUUUACUGACUAGUCACAUACUAGGUUAUUUUAUUAUGAUAAACCACUUACAUGUAAAAUUGUGACAUAAAUUGAACAAUUUCCAAAAUUAAGUACUUUCUCAGUUUUGGGACAAGAUUCUACUGUCCUAUCACUGCUUUCAAAAUACCUCCCUUUAAAGUCAAAGUAAACAUUUCCUGAGUUAAUUUCAACUGCUUGUGGCACAUAACAACAUUUUGGUCAACAACUGAUUGCAUAUACAUUGGUGAUCCUAUAAGAUUAUAAUGAAGCCAAAAAAAUUAUUGUAGCCUAGUGACAUUAUAGUCAUCCCAAUGUCAUAACAAAAUGUGUUACUCACAUGUUUGUGGUGAUCCUUGUGCAAACAAACUCAUUGCACUGCCAUUCACAUAAAAUGAUAGCAUAUACAAUUAUGUAGAAUACAUAAUAAUUGAUAAUGAUAGUGACAUGGUGGGGCUCUGUAUCCCCACCCAAAUCUCAUCUUGAAUAAUCCCCAGGUGUGGAGGGAGAGACAUGGUAGGAGGUGAUUGGAUCAUGGGGCAGUUGCUCCCAUGCUGUUCUUGCAAUAGUGAGUGAGUUAUGAGAUCUAAUGGUUUUAUAAGGGGCUCUUUCCUCUAUGCCUGCCACACUAUCUCUUGCCUGCUACCAUGUAAGCCGUGCCUGUUUCCACUUCCGCCAUAAUUGUAAGGCUGAGGCCUCCCCAGCCAUGUGAAACUGUGAGUCAAUUAAAAAUCUUUCCUUUAU